UACGGAGGGAGCUAGCGUUGUUCGGAAUUACUGGGCGUAAAGCGCGCGUAGGCGGCUUUGUAAGUUAGGGGUGAAAGCCCGGGGCUCAACCCCGGAACUGCCUUUAAGACUGCAUCGCUUGAAUCCAGGAGAGGUGAGUGGAAUUCCGAGUGUAGAGGUGAAAUUCGUAGAUAUUCGGAAGAACACCAGUGGCGAAGGCGGCUCACUGGACUGGUAUUGACGCUGAGGUGCGAAAGCGUGGGGAGCAAACAGG
rnacentral:rRNA from 1 species